rnacentral:rRNA from 1 species
UACAGGAGGUCUCGAGCGUUGUUCGGAUUCAUUGGGCGUAAAGGGUGCGUAGGUGGCGGGGUAAGUCAGGUGUGAAAUCUCGGAGCUCAACUCCGAAACUGCACUUGAUACUGCCUUGCUUGAGUAGCUGGAGAGGAGAUUGGAAUUUACGGUGUAGCAGUGAAAUGCGUAGAUAUCGUAAGGAAGACCAGUGGCGAAGGCGAAUCUCUGGACAGUUACUGACACUGAGGCAGCGAAGGCCAGGGAGGCAAACGGG